rnacentral:rRNA from 1 species
UUGCUCCUCUGACGUUAGCGGCGGACGGGUGAGUAACACGUGGAUAACCUACCUAUAAGACUGGGAUAACUUCGGGAAACCGGAGCUAAUACCGGAUAAUAUAUUGAACCGCAUGGUUCAAUAGUGAAAGACGGUUUUGCUGUCACUUAUAGAUGGAUCCGCGCCGCAGUAGCUAGUUGGUAAGGUAACGGCUUACCAAGGCAACGAUGCGUAGCCGACCUGAGAGGGUGAUCGGCCACACUGGAACUGAGACACGGUCCAGACUCCUACGGGAGGCAGCAGUAGGGAAUCUUCCGCAAUGGGCGAAAGCCUGACGGAGCAACGCCGCGUGAGUGAUGAAGGUCUUCGGAUCGUAAAACUCUGUUAUUAGGGAAGAACAAAUGUGUAAGUAACUAUGCACGUCUUGACGGUACCUAAUCAGAAAGCCACGGCUAACUACGUGCCAGCAGCCGCGGUAAUACGUAGGUGGCAAGCGUUAUCCGGAAUUAUUGGGCGUAAAGCGCGCGUAGGCGG